GCCAAGUCGUGAGGCGGAGCUAAUCCCUUAAAGCCAUUCUCAGUUCGGAUUGUAGGCUGAAACUCGCCUACAUGAAGCUGGAGUUACUAGUAAUCGCAGAUCAGAAUGCUGCGGUGAAUGCGUUCCCGGGUCUUGUACACACCGCCCGUCACACCACGGAAGUUGGGGGCGCCCGAAGCCACUUAGCUAACCCUUUUGGGAAGCGAGUGUCGAAGGUGAAAUCAAUAACUGGGGUGAAGUCGUAACAAGGUAUC
rnacentral:rRNA from 1 species